rnacentral:rRNA from 1 species
CGGAGCUUGCUCCACCGGAAAAAGAAGAGUGGCGAACGGGUGAGUAACACGUGGGUAACCUGCCCAUCAGAAGGGGAUAACACUUGGAAACAGGUGCUAAUACCGUAUAACAAUCGAAACCGCAUGGUUUUGAUUUGAAAGGCGCUUUCGGGUGUCGCUGAUGGAUGGACCCGCGGUGCAUUAGCUAGUUGGUGAGGUAACGGCUCACCAAGGCCACGAUGCAUAGCCGACCUGAGAGGGUGAUCGGCCACAUUGGGACUGAGACACGGCCCAAACUCCUACGGGAGGCAGCAGUAGGGAAUCUUCGGCAAUGGACGAAAGUCUGACCGAGCAACGCCGCGUGAGUGAAGAAGGUUUUCGGAUCGUAAAACUCUGUUGUUAGAGAAGAACAAGGAUGAGAGUAACUGUUCAUCCCUUGACGGUAUCUAACCAGAAAGCCACGGCUAACUACGUGCCAGCAGCCGCGGUAAUACGUAGGUGGCAAGCGUUGUCCGGAUUUAUUGGGCGUAAAGCGAGCGCAGGCGGUUUCUUAAGUCUGAUGUGAAAGCCCCCGGCUCAACCGGGGAGGGUCAUUGGAAACUGGGAGACUUGAGUGCAGAAGAGGAGAGUGGAAUUCCAUGUGUAGCGGUGAAAUGCGUAGAUAUAUGGAGGAACACCAGUGGCGAAGGCGGCUCUCUGGUCUGUAACUGACGCUGAGGCUCGAAAGCGUGGGGAGCAAACAGGAUUAGAUACCCUGGUAGUCCACGCCGUAAACGAUGAGUGCUAAGUGUUGGAGGGUUUCCGCCCUUCAGUGCUGCAGCUAACGCAUUAAGCACUCCGCCUGGGGAGUACGACCGCAAGGUUGAAACUCAAAGGAAUUGACGGGGGCCCGCACAAGCGGUGGAGCAUGUGGUUUAAUUCGAAGCAACGCGAAGAACCUUACCAGGUCUUGACAUCCUUUGACCACUCUAGAGAUAGAGCUUCCCCUUCGGGGGCAAAGUGACAGGUGGUGCAUGGUUGUCGUCAGCUCGUGUCGUGAGAUGUUGGGUUAAGUCCCGCAACGAGCGCAACCCUUAUUGUUAGUUGCCAUCAUUCAGUUGGGCACUCUAGCAAGACUGCCGGUGACAAACCGGAGGAAGGUGGGGAUGACGUCAAAUCAUCAUGCCCCUUAUGACCUGGGCUACACACGUGCUACAAUGGGAAGUACAACGAGUCGCGAAGUCGCGAGGCUAAGCUAAUCUCUUAAAGCUUCUCUCAGUUCGGAUUGUAGGCUGCAACUCGCCUACAUGAAGCCGGAAUCGCUAGUAAUCGCGGAUCAGCACGCCGCGGUGAAUACGUUCCCGGGCCUUGUACACACCGCCCGUCACACCACGAGAGUUUGUAACACCCGAAGUCGGUGAGGUAA